AUGUCCUUGUGUGGUGACUCAUCGGAUAAAAUGAAAGAAGUUGGUUUGCACCAAGUUGAUCUUUUAAUUAAAGGAGGUGUGAAUAGAAAGUAAUACUAGUGGCAAAAGAAAAAAAGUAACGUGGGCUGUUGUGAGAAGAAUGAAAGGUAAGUUAGGUUUUCAAAAGAGGGAAGAUAUAAAACAAGCCAUCAUGGAAUAGAACUAGGGAUUCACGUUGGUGAAAAGCUGCGCACAACUAGGAAGAGGUUUUUGGCAGAAAGCAACACCAAAGUUUUGUACAACAGCACACUUUUUGGAGAUGGCAUUUCUAGAGAGAAACACAAAGCAAGAUAUUAGGAGUAGAUUCUUCCCAAGAUUUGUUGAGACAUCAUGAAUCUUAGCUUGGAAUCUUCAUAUUUUCUUCAUCCUCUGCAAAGCUAUCAUAGACAUAUGUAGUUACAUCUACUCUUAUGGGUUUUAAGGUAUUCAAACAAGUCAUUAUGUAAACUCUUGAUUUUUUAAUAUAGGCUUAAUUGCACUUUUGGACCCAUAUCUUUCCAAAAGUUGCGGUUAUGGACCCCUAACUAAUUUAAAUAC
rnacentral:lncRNA from 1 species